rnacentral:rRNA from 1 species
AUUGAACGCUGGCGGCAGGCCUAACACAUGCAAGUCGAGCGGGAACUUCGGUUCUAGCGGCGGACGGGUGAGUAAUGCGUAGGAAGCUACCCGAUAGAGGGGGAUACCAGUUGGAAACGACUGUUAAUACCGCAUAAUGUCUACGGACCAAAGUGUGGGACCUUCGGGCCACAUGCUAUCGGAUGCGCCUACGUGGGAUUAGCUAGUUGGUGAGGUAAUGGCUCACCAAGGCGACGAUCCCUAGCUGGUUUGAGAGGAUGAUCAGCAACACUGGACAGGAGACACGGUCCAGACCCCUACGGGAGGCGGCAGGGGGGAAUAUUGGACAAUGGGCGCAAGCCUGAUCCAGCCAUGCCGCGUGUGUGAAGAAGGCCUUCGGGUUGUAAAGCACUUUCCGCGAGGAGGAAGGGUUGUGUGUUAAUAUUACACAGCCUUGACGUUACUCGCAGAAGAAGCACCGGCUAACUCUGUGCCAGCCGCCGCCGUAAUAC